GAUGAACGCUAGCUACAGGCUUCACACAUGCAAGUCGAGGGACCGGCGCACGGGUGAGUAACGCGUAUCCACCCUACCCAUUACUGUGGGAUAACCUGCCGAAAGGCAGACUAAUACCGCAUAGUCUUGGAUUGUGAUGCGUCUGAUUAGCUUGUUGGCGGGGUAACGGCCCACCAAGGCAACGGUCAGUAGGGGUUCUGAGAGGAAGGUCCACCACAUUGGAACUGAGACACGGUCCAAACUCGUAGGGGAGGGAGGAGGGGGGAAGAUAGGUCAAUGGGCGCGAGCCUGAACCAGCCGAGUAGAGUGCAGGAUGACGGCCUAGGGGUUGAAAACUGCUUUUGUAUGGGGAUAGGUACCAGAAGAAUAAGGACCGGCUAAUUCCGUGCCAGCAGACGCGGUAAUUC
rnacentral:rRNA from 1 species